rnacentral:rRNA from 1 species
AGAACACCGGUUCUCAUUCGAUCACCGAAGUUAAGCAUCGUAGAGCCAGGUCAGUACUUAGAUGGGGGACCACUUGGGAACACCUGGUACUGUAAG